rnacentral:lncRNA from 1 species
CCGUGAAGACGCCUUACUUUCGGGACGGCCCGCCGCCUAAACGUAACAAGAAAAGGCAAGUCGACGAGGUUCACUUCGAGACUCCCCUUGAUGCGUCUCCCCUCAAGACUAUCGCGGUCGGUGCCCCGGACUCCCAUCGUGAUGCUUUCUCUGCUCCUGGUGCCCCGGACGCCCCCCUUCGAGACAGCCGGUCCGACCGACGGCAAAGGAAAAAGACUCGGGCUGAGAAACGAAAGUCGGUCGCCGCCUCCCUGGCGAAGGAUUCGGUCCA